rnacentral:misc_RNA from 1 species
GAUGAAGAACGCAGCGAAAUGCGAUAAGUAAUGUGAAUUGCAGAAUUCAGUGAAUCAUCGAAUCUUUGAACGCACAUUGCGCCCUCUGGUAUUCCGGGGGGCAUGCCUGUUCGAGCGUCAUUAUAACCACUCAAGCUCUCGCUUGGUAUUGGGGUUCGCGGUUCCGCGGCCCCUAAAAUCAGUGGCGGUGCCUGUCGGCUCUACGAGUAGUAAUACUCCUCGCGAUUGAGUCCGGUAGGUCUACUUGCCAGCAACCCCCAAUUUUUACAGGUUGACCUCGGAUCAGGUAGGGAUACCCGCUGAACUUAAGCAUAUCAAUAAGCGGAGGA